rnacentral:misc_RNA from 1 species
UUACAAUGCUACAGAAUCCCAUUAUACAAGAUAACGAGUCUAAAAUGUAACAUCAUUAGCUGAAACAGAAAACUACAACACCGCAAACUUGUUCACACACCAAACAUUGGUGAAUCAAGCGUCUUUUAUUCCCGCCGCUCCGACCAAGUAGUACUAAUAAUAAGAGCAGCAGCAGCUAAGUAGCACCAGCAGUAGGCUCCAUUCAGAGAUUUACCUCACCUUGUUGCAAUCAGUCUGCAUGCUGAUCGGGUAGGGGAUGUUGACGCCGCACUUGGCGGGGAUGCCGGCGACGAUUGCAGCAUUGAGGCCAAGGCUGGGGUUCACCAGAGACUUGAGGCAGUUGCAUGCAGUCUGGCGAUCGGGAGUGGUCUUGGCUAAGUUAUUAAGGGUCCUCACACCCGCGCAGCAGCCCGGUGGGAUGACCCCGCCCUUUCUAGCAUAGCCAAGGCAGGAGCUGAGGUCAGAGUCAACCUGACCACAGGUGAUUGCCGAGGCUGUGCCGACGAGAAAGGCAAGGAGCAGGAGGGAGCAGACGACGGAGGAGCGAGCCAUGGAAGGAGAGCUGGGAAGAAUGGGAUGAGUGAUGGUUGA